rnacentral:rRNA from 1 species
UACGUAGGGCGCAAGCGUUAUCCGGAAUUAUUGGGCGUAAAGGGCUCGUAGGCGGUUUGUCGCGUCGGGAGUGAAAACUCAGGGCUUAACCCUGAGCCUGCUUCCGAUACGGGCAGACUAGAGGUAUGCAGGGGAGAACGGAAUUUCCGGUGUAGCGGUGAAAUGCGCAGAUAUCAGGAGGAACACCGAUGGCGAAGGCAGGUCUCUGGGCCGCAACUGACGCUGAGGAGCGAAAGCAUGGGGAGCGAACAGG